rnacentral:rRNA from 1 species
GACGAACGCUGGCGGCGUGCUUAACACAUGCAAGUCGAACGGAAAGGCUCUGCUUUUGUGGGGUGCUCGAGUGGCGAACGGGUGAGUAACACGUGAGUAACCUGCCCUUGACUUUGGGAUAACUUCAGGAAACUGGGGCUAAUACCGGAUAGGAGCUCCUGCUGCAUGGUGGGGGUUGGAAAGUUUCGGCGGUUGGGGAUGGACUCGCGGCUUAUCAGCUUGUUGGUGGGGUAGUGGCUUACCAAGGCUUUGACGUGUAGCCGGCCUGAGAGGGUGACCGGCCACAUUGGGACUGAGAUACGGCCCAGACUCCUACGGGAGGCAGCAGUGGGGAAUAUUGCACAAUGGGCGGAAGCCUGAUGCAGCAACGCCGCGUGCGGGAUGACGGCCUUCGGGUUGUAAACCGCUUUCGCCUGUGACGAAGCGUGAGUGACGGUAAUGGGUAAAGAAGCACCGGCUAACUACGUG